AUAGAGUAUAGAGAUUGCAUUUCUUUUACGAUAAAAGUAAAAAAAGUAAAUUUCGUGUGUAUAUAUAUACAUAUUAGUUGAGUAUACGUGCAAAUGUACAUAACAAUUAUUUUAAUAACUAUCUCAAAUUAAUAGAAAUUUGUAGAUCAUAUUUAUUCAAAAGUUUAGAAUACAAAAAUUUAAAUUUAAAAAAGUAAAUUCAUUUAUUAUAUACUAUUUGAAAAUACAAAUCAUAUUCUAACUCAAAUUUAAAUAGCUGUUGCCGACAAUAAUUAUAUACUUCUAUUUUUUAUUUUAUAAAAUCUAUAUAUAGUGUAGAUAUAGAUUUAGAUUGAAUAUUUUUCUAUAUUCUUGAAUUAUGACGAAUCCAAAAUUUAAAUAUAUGUUUUAAAGUAAAAGUAUUAAAAUUUGAAUAUGUAUGUCGACAAAUUGAAAUUUAAAAUACGUGCUUUUAUAUAUAGUAUAGAUACUAACUAGAUUGAGACGUGCUCUCUAUGAAGCAAUAUAUUGUCAGUGACAUUUUAAAAAAAAUUUUCUUAAUUAAGAAUAAAAUGUCACUUCCUUCUAGUAUUUAUUUUUAAAAAACAUUCUUUUUUCUCCACUUAUUUAUUAACUUUUAUUUUAUUUUAUUUUAUUUUUUUUGUUCUCCAACCAUUUUUUCUUAUGUUGUAAUCAGAUUUUUAACAUUCUUAAUUUAUUACACCAUUGGUCCCAUUUUUCACUUUAAUUUUUAAUCUUUUCUCCUAUAU
rnacentral:lncRNA from 1 species